AUGCUGCGAAAAGUUAUCACUGAAAAGUUCAAGUGAAUUGGAUGAAUUGAAUUGAAUUACGGUAAUGUAACCACAGCGCCGAGCUGCCAUGCAUGUGUGCCACUUAGUGGCUCUAAGAAGGAACAACAUCAAAGUGCUAACUGACCACAUGCUUCCUUUUUUCCCCCAUUCCCACAAUAAAUAGCAGAAAAUAAUGUCAAAAAACAUUUCAUAUCCUAUAGGGGUAAAUGUAAGUGUGUGAUUGUUUGGAUAUGUGUGCCUUGUGAUUGGCUGGCGAACAGACUUCCUUUUGCAGACUUUCUGUAUGAACAGCAGCAAAUUCUCUCCACUCCAGGCGAGACUCAUUCCCAAAUAAUUCUGCUUGUCAGUUUGAAAUUAGCACCACCAAGUGGGAAAACAAUGACACUGUAGAGGGAAAAGUCCAGUUGGAGAGGGAGCCUGUUUCCUUACGAUCCCUCUGCUGGAAGAAUGCUCUCCCUGCAUCACAGUCGUCUCGUUUUUUGUUUUUUUUUUUUCUCUCGACAUCAGACGUAAUGGAAUAGCUAAGAGAAACUGGCUGUUAUUCACAGACAACUCCUGGCACAAGACAAAAGAUGACUAUUAUAAAAUGUGUCUGGAGCGGACCCGCAUUUCGAGGCGCUCACCGAAAAACAAAAGUGGAGACGAACAGCUGCAGGUUGGAGGUAGUUGACACGCGUCCGUACGCGGAGCCCGAUAAAUGUCUCCACUCCGGACAGGGAAUACUGAGCGAGAGCGAGUGUCCUUGACAAUGGCAGGAAGCUCGUUCCGAGGGGAAGAGAUGGCCGGCAACGCUCAAUGCCUCAGCUGUUUGUGUUUGCAUGCGGGUCGUGACAACCAUUGCUGUUUGCCCGCGGCAGGAAGUGUGACCUAUCACGUGAGCCGCGAGUGUCAAAAGAUGCUUGGGACAAAGGAAGAGCACUUGUACGCACCGUCCGCAGGGACGGAAUAAACUCUAUGACACAAGGUGAUUGGAAACACCCAAGUAAAUAACGGCUAAGUCAUCCUCUUGGCUUGCCUCCUAAAAAGUGUAACUUCUCUUUGUUUGAUGUUUAGUUUGACAUCUUGAAAUUGACGUAUAUCGAGGCGACACGAUGCGCCUUUGGAAAGUACACUAGCUGCUAUCCGUCUUCUUUUUACACUUGUAUAACCAUUUCCCAGAGCGGGCUUACGAUUAGCGGCGCCGCCAUGUUAACGUUCGUCAAUCUGCCGCAUGUUAGCGUUUGCUUGAAAUAAUCCGUUUUGCAAGAUGCGGAGCAUCUGUAGCGGCUACUGUUUGUGUACCGUUGGCGUAUGUGCGUGCGUUUGAGCGCAUGUGUGCGGCGCGUGGUGUUUAGAACCCCCUCCUUUCUCUGUCAGCCGGGUCGGCUUUCCUCUCUUCUCUCCUCACCUUCAGAGGGAAGGACGCACAUUCCUGCGCCGCUUCCCGACUCGAGCCCCAGGCGACGCUCAGCCCCGUGCUGAUAAGUGACAGGGGCCCCAGUGGCGUGCACGCACACACACACACACACACACACACACGCCCUGCCCUUCUGUCCACAGACGUGCUGCUCGGGAAUUCUGCCCUCUGCCCCACUUCUGCCUCCCCCCACCUCCCACCUCCUUCCUCUCUUCCUCGCUCCCGCUCGCUCUCUUGACGACGGGUCUUUAAAGAGAUAGAUUGAUCUUUAAUUUCAGCGCCAGUCUGGUCAAUGGCGCUAUAGCCCGACGCCUCCAGCAUGCCCACCACCCUCACCCACUCGCUACCAUCCCCUCGUCCCCCGACGCACAAAGGAGGGAGAGAUCUAAAUUGGGCGAUUUGUCAAUCAAAGCAUUUGACGGUUGGUAGGCCUGUUUUUGGUUUUUGUUUUCAUUAUUUGUUCGUCAGAUGACUCCAGUCAAGAAUACUGCAUACUGAGUGUGUGAAUUAUUUUGUCACCUUACUUGACGCAAAAAAAAAUACCCCACAAACUCCUUCUUGCUGUCUGCCUCGGCGUUUAUUAAGUAUUCCGCUCAGACCUGCACCAAGGCUCCGAGCACAGAAAACACACUCUGACCGCCACUCAGUGUGUGUGUGUGUGUGUGUGUGUGCAUAUCCGCGUGUGCGUCCGCCUUGUGCGCUCGGUGCGUGCCUGAAUGUGUGUCAGCCUCAAUUGCUGGAGCCUGCCCAAGGUUUCCGUGGUGACUGCACAACACAACGAGACAAUCAGGGCAGGCCCAUGCGGCGCGGGCGAGAGGACAUUAACACAGGAACUGGGGGGGAGUGAGGUCAGAGGUCAGACUAAGGCGGGGAGGCGCGCAAAGCAACGAAGGUAAAGCGUAAACAACAAUAAAGAAUCACGCAACCUUUUGUGUCUUCAAUUUUCAAAGAAAAAGCCAGAAAGAGCGCCUGUGUGGUUUUGGCGUGCCUACGCGUGGAGAUUGGUGGCACGCCUGAGCGAAUUGGCGGUGAGGGGGCGGCGGGGGGUGGGAGGGCUCGGCUGAGCCCGGGCUUGGCGGCGUCGUCGUUGUGUGGCGUGAGAAUGUGUCUCCUCAAAUCCCCUACCGACGGGAGACGCAUGCUUGUCGCUCCAUUUUGUGUGCGUGGAGGCUGCUCGUGCACCCGGAACAGGCGCGCACGCGCCGGCGCGCUCUCACAUAUCUGCGUCCCCCGGGGAUGACGCUAAAAAUAUGUGGCUCCUCAAGCCUUCUGGUGUCUGAGCAGCGUCUGUCUGCUCUCCAUUGCCUCCCUGCUCUCCCCUCUCUUGAGCCCGUUCCCUCCAUUCCUCCCUCAAUUACAUCCUCUCUCAAACACGCUACCUCAACGAGCGCACGUCGACAAACUACGGCCAGCUGCGUCCCCCGCUGCACUUUCGCGGAGGAUGACCUCUGCUUGGGCCGGAGUGGGAUAAAGGCAAGCGGAAAGGAAAAAAAGAAAAAAGAAAAAAUACAAGGGACUGAAGAAAGAUCCAUGCGGGUAGUAUUUGGAAAG